rnacentral:lncRNA from 1 species
AGAACACGCCAGGGUGGAGACAGGAGAUCUGUGUGCUUCCCGAGUACAGAUCACGGCUCAGCAUCUCAUGGGAAAGGGACAGGGCUCUCUUCAGGACACGCAGUAAGAUUUCAAGUGCGGGCACUUUUAAUACUCCGCGAUCCAAAGGCAGCUCCAGGGCCAGCCGCGGUUUCCGGCCUCAAGGGCAGGCUCGGUUCUGGAGCUCCCUCCAGUGGCCGUCGGGGUGCCGUCACUUUCAGGGCCCCACCAGGAGAGCAGGGGCCCCGCCGAGGACCAGAGCGCCUGGACCAGAGGGAGCCCUGCGCGGCCGGCACGGAUGCCUCUCAAUAGGCGGCAUGGGGCCGACACGACUCGCCCAUAUUUGGUUCUCAUGAAAACAGAAGCUCCGUGGAGAAAGCGAAGAAAGUCCUUGAAAGUCGCCUGUUCAAAGCCGCCACUGCCGUGAUGCCCCCUGACUCCGCACCCCGCCGCCGUGACGCCCCCCACGACCCCGCACCCUGCUGCAGUGACGCCCCCGACCCCUCACCCCGCUGCCGUCACACACCCCGACCCCGCUGCCGUCACUCCCCACGACCCCCCACCCCGCUGCCGUCACGCUCCGUGACCCCCGACCCCGACACCCUGCUGCCGUGAUGUUCCCCCAACCCUGCACCCCGCUGCCGUGACGCCCGCCCCGACCCCGCACCCCGCUGCUGUCACGCCCCCGACCCCGCACCCCGCCGCCGUCACGCCCGACCCCUCACCCCGCUACUGUGACGCCCCCCGACCCCUCACCCCGCUGCCGUCACACACCCCGACCCCGCUGCCGUCACUCCCAACCCCCCACCCCGCUGCCGUCACGCUCCGUGACCCCCGACCCCGACACCCUGCUGCCGUGAUGUUCCCCCAACCCUGCACCCCGCUGCCGUGACGCCCGCCCCGACCCCGCACCCCGCUGCCGUCACGCCCCCGACCCCGCACCCCGCCGCCGUCACGCCCGACCUCUCACCCCGCUACUGUGACGCCCCCCGACCCCGCACCCCGCCGCCGUCACUCCCCCGACCCCGCACCCCGCUGCCGUGACACCCCCCGGCCCCCAUCCCGCUGCCAUCACGCCUCCCGGCCCCCGCACCCUUGUCUGUGUCCCACAGCACAGGACCUGUCAGCGAGCGUCUGGCGCCUUCCUCCCUCCCCUGCAGAGACCCGCCAGGCCCCUCCAACAGGUGCUUUCUAAACUGCAAUUUCCUCAUCUACAAAAGGACAAUCACAACAACGGAACCCAGGGGACAGGACUGCAUCAACUACAACCAGACGGCGUAGACGGCAGCACACGGCCCUCGGCAAAUCAGAGAAACACUGCUGUGCAAGAACCUGCAAAUCCCUAAGGCGUCUGUGUCCGAUGGCCCCGGCCCCAUGCUCUGAGGUCGCGCAGGUGUCCAAGGCCAGGAGGGGCACCGAGGAGACGAAGAAGAAACAGCACAGCAGCUGGGGAGGUAGGAACAGCAGAGUCUGAGUCACCAAAGCCCGGGGCUGCCACUCUCCAGGGCGCCCCACUCCCAGCUCCAGCGGCUGAGUCCACCAAGCCAGGACAGGCCCAAGGACCAGAGGGCGAGGUGAUUCACAGUGGAGCUCGGAAAGACCCAUCCAUGCCCAGCGCCUUGUCAAAAACCACAGGGGUCUUGGUGACAAGCAAUUGAGGGAGGCCAACAUGGCAGAGCCAGGGCUGCAAAAUCGGCUGGAAUAAGCAUCAGACCUGCUAGAAGGGUUUUCUGUGCCUGUUUUCGGUGAGCACAGAACAACUGAAGGAAGCGCGGGACAGACACAAGGGCGGGCCUCGGUGCCACGGCUGGCCUUGGGCAGAGGGAAAUGCUUUGUGUACUUUCUCUGGGAAGCAGCAGCCCCAGCGCGGCCUCGGCGUCCUCUGCCGCCAACUGCUCCGUGACCGCUGGGCGUGUGUGCGGGGACAUGGGAGCAACUUCACAGUGGUGGGAAGUUUCUCUCCUAAAACGAAAGCUUCUCUAUACUACAGAUUGGCCCCAUUAAAUAAAAGAAAAUACGGUGUA